CCUACGGGUGGCAGCAGUGAGGAAUAUUGGUCAAUGGACGAGAGUCUGAACCAGCCAAGUAGCGUGAAGGAUGACUGCCCUAUGGGUUGUAAACUUCUUUUAUAUGGGAAUAAAAUGUUCCACGUGUGGGAUUUUGUAUGUACCAUAUGAAUAAGGAUCGGCUAACUCCGUGCCAGCAGCCGCGGUAAUACGGAGGCUCCGAGCGUUAUCCGGAUUUAUUGGGUUUAAAGGGAGCGUAGGUGGAUUGUUAAGUCAGUUGUGAAAGUUUGCGGCUCAACCGUAAGAUUGCAGUUGAAACUGGCAGUCUUGAGUACAGUAGAGGUGGGCGGAAUUCGUGGUGUAGCGGUGAAAUGCUUAGAUAUCACGAAGAACUCCGAUUGCGAAGGCAGUUCACUGGACUGCAACUGACACUGAGGCUCGAAAGUGUGGGUAUCAAACAGGAUUAGAUACCCGGGUAGUC
rnacentral:rRNA from 1 species